rnacentral:rRNA from 1 species
AACGCUGGCGGCAGGCCUAACACAUGCAAGUCGAGCGGUAGCACAGAGAGCUUGCUCUCGGGUGACGAGCGGCGGACGGGUGAGUAAUGUCUGGGAAACUGCCUGAUGGAGGGGGAUAACUACUGGAAACGGUAGCUAAUACCGCAUAAUGUCGCAAGACCAAAGUGGGGGACCUUCGGGCCUCAUGCCAUCAGAUGUGCCCAGAUGGGAUUAGCUAGUAGGUGGGGUAACGGCUCACCUAGGCGACGAUCCCCAGCUGGUCUGAGAGGAUGACCAGCCACACUGGAACUGAGACACGGUCCAGACUCCUACGGGAGGCAGCAGUGGGGAAUAUUGCACAAUGGGCGCAAGCCUGAUGCAGCCAUGCCGCGUGUGUGAAGAAGGCCUUCGGGUUGUAAAGCACUUUCAGCGGGGAGGAAGGCGGUGAGGUUAAUAACCUCAUCGAUUGACGUUACCCGCAGAAGAAGCACCGGCUAACUCCGUGCCAGCAGCCGCGGUAAUACGGAGGGUGCAAGCGUUAAUCGGAAUUACUGGGCGUAAAGCGCACGCAGGCGGUCUGUCAAGUCGGAUGUGAAAUCCCCGGGCUUAACUUGGGAACUGCAUUCGAAACUGGCAGGCUAGAGUCUUGUAGAGGGGGGUAGAAUUCCAGGUGUAGCGGUGAAAUGCGUAGAGAUCUGGAGGAAUACCGGUGGCGAAGGCGGCCCCCUGGACAAAGACUGACGCUCAGGUGCGAAAGCGUGGGGAGCAAACAGGAUUAGAUACCCUGGUAGUCCACGCCGUAAACGAUGUCGAUUUGGAGGUUGUGCCCUUGAGGCGUGGCUUCCGGAGCUAACGCGUUAAAUCGACCGCCUGGGGAGUACGGCCGCAAGGUUAAAACUCAAAUGAAUUGACGGGGGCCCGCACAAGCGGUGGAGCAUGUGGUUUAAUUCGAUGCAACGCGAAGAACCUUACCUGGUCUUGACAUCCACAGAACUUUCCAGAGAUGGAUUGGUGCCUUCGGGAACUGUGAGACAGGUGCUGCAUGGCUGUCGUCAGCUCGUGUUGUGAAAUGUUGGGUUAAGUCCCGCAACGAGCGCAACCCUUAUCCUUUGUUGCCAGCGGUCCGGCCGGGAACUCAAAGGAGACUGCCAGUGAUAAACUGGAGGAAGGUGGGGAUGACGUCAAGUCAUCAUGGCCCUUACGACCAGGGCUACACACGUGCUACAAUGGCAUAUACAAAGAGAAGCGACCUCGCGAGAGCAAGCGGACCUCAUAAAGUAUGUCGUAGUCCGGAUUGGAGUCUGCAACUCGACUCCAUGAAGUCGGAAUCGCUAGUAAUCGUAGAUCAGAAUGCUACGGUGAAUACGUUCCCGGGCCUUGUACACACCGCCCGUCACACCAUGGGAGUGGGUUGCAAAAGAAGUAGGUAGCUUAACCUUCGGGAGGGCGCUUACCACUUUGUGAUUCAUGACUGGGG